rnacentral:rRNA from 1 species
AACGUAGGAGACAAACGUUAUCCGGAGUUACUGGGCGUAAAGGGCGUGUAGGUGGUAUCGUAAGUCUGGCGUGAAAUUUCUCGGCUUAACCGAGGCAGGUCGUCGGAUACUGCGAGGCUAGAGGACGGUAGAGGCGUGUGGAAUUCCGGGUGUAGUGGUGAAAUGCGUAGAUAUCGGGAGGAACACCAGUGGCGAAGGCGGCUUCCUGGCCUGUUCUUGACGCUGAGGCGCGAAAGCUAGGGGAGCAAACGGG